UACAGAGACUGCAAGCGUUAUUCGGAUUCACUGGGCGUAAAGGGUGCGCAGGCGGCUAAAUGUGUGGAGUGUGAAAGCUCGAAGCUUAACUUCGAAACAGCACCCCAAACUAUUUAGCUAGAGCAUUGGAGAGAGUAGCAGAAUUCACGGUGUAGCAGUGAAAUGCGUAGAUAUCGUGAGGAAUACCAGAGGCGAAGGCGGCUACUUGGACAAUUGCUGACGCUCAGGCACGAAAGCGUGGGGAGCAAAAGGG
rnacentral:rRNA from 1 species